UACGGGGGGGGCAAGCGUUGUUCGGAAUUACUGGGCGUAAAGGGCUCGUAGGCGGCCAACUAAGUCGGACGUGAAAUCCCUCGGCUUAACCGGGGAACUGCGUCCGAUACUGGAUGGCUUGAGUUCGGGAGAGGGAUGCGGAAUUCCAGGUGUAGCGGUGAAAUGCGUAGAUAUCUGGAGGAACACCGGUGGCGAAGGCG
rnacentral:rRNA from 1 species